GUGUCAGCAGCCGCGGUAAAACGUAGGACACGAGCGUUAUCCGGAGUUACUGGGCGUAAAGGGCGUGCAGGCGGCAGUGGAAGUCUGGUGUGAAAGCUCCUGGCUCAACCGGGAGAGGACACUGGAGACUCCACAGCUAGAGGCAGAUAGAGGGGUGUAGAAUUCCGGGUGUAGUGGUGAAAUGCGUAGAGAUCCGGAGGAAUACCAGAAGCGAAGGCGGCACCCUGGGUCUGACCUGACGCUGAGACGCGACAGCAUGGGGAGCGAACGGGAUUAGAAACCCUCGUAGUCC
rnacentral:rRNA from 1 species